rnacentral:rRNA from 1 species
CUACGGGUUGCAGCAGUGGGGAAUAUUGCACAAUGGAGGAAACUCUGACGCAGCAACGCCGCGUGGAGGAUGACACUUUUCGGAGCGUAAACUCCUUUUAUAUAGGAAGAAGAUGACGGUACUAUAUGAAUAAGCGCCGGCUAACUCCGUGCCAGCAGCCGCGGUAAUACGGAGGGCGCAAGCGUUACUCGGAAUCACUGGGCGUAAAGAGCGUGUAGGCGGAUUAAAAAGUCAGAAGUGAAAUCCUAUAGCUUAACUAUAGAACUGCUUCUGAAACUCUUAAUCUAGAAUAUGGGAGAGGUAGAUGGAAUUUCUGGUGUAGGGGUAAAAUCCGUAGAGAUCAGAAGGAAUACCGAUUGCGAAGGCGAUCUCCUGGAACAUUACUGACGCUAAGGCGUGAAAGCGUGGGGAGCAAACAGGAUUAGAUACCCUUGUAGUC